UUGUGUGUUGAAUUAUCUUCCUCUAUCCUCCUUGACUCGGUUAAUUCACUCGCGGUUAAUGAUUAAGUUGUUUACAAAACAAAUGCCGCGGAUCACGCUUUCCGAUGGUGACUGAGCCAACGACGACGUGAAUGCGGCAUGUGUCAUGGUACGCGAUGAACUGUCUGCUCUUUUUUCGUCUCCGUCUCCGAGUUUCCGUAUCACUUUCGUCGCGAUUUAUUUUUAAAUAAUUUUUUUUUCGAGCCAUGCAACUUUGUUGGAAUGUUCGAAUUUUUGUGGAAAGUCCAUGUCGAGGAACCGGAGACGGGAUUAUUAUGUCAUAUUUGUGCGGAAAUCGUGUUAACGUAUAUUUUAAUGGUUUUUUAAUGGGAAUCACGUGGAUUACAAUGGAUUGAAGAACGAUCAAGAAGAAGUUACGUUCUAAUUCAUGAGAGAGGGUGAAUAAAAUUGAUGAGUUAUCAGGAAAAAAAUAAAAUUCUUUAAGCCGGAAUAAAAAAUAUUUACCUAUGUCAAAAAAGAAAUAAUAAUAUUAAAUAAAAUAAAAUA